CAAUAGCGUAUAUUAAAGUUGUUGCAGUUAAAAAGCUCGUAGUUGGAUUUCUGGCAGGAUGACUUUGCCCUCUGUAGAGUGCGCAAUGCUGUCCUACCAUCCUUCUGUUAACCCUGGAGGCCUUUAACAGCUUGUAGGGGCGUCAGAUAUUUUACCUUUGAGAAAAUUAAGAGUGUUUCUAGGCAGGCUAGCGCCGGAAUACAUUAGCAUGGAAUAAUAGAAUAGGACUUUUGUCCUCUUCUGUUGGUCUGAGGGGUGGUAAGUAAUGAUUAAUAGGGACAGUUGGGGGUAGUUCGUAUUUCGUUGUCAGAGGUGAAAUUCUUGGAUUUCCGAAAGACGAACUACUGCGAAAGCAUUUACCAAGGAUGUUUUCAUUAAUCAAGAACGAAAGUUAGGGGAGUCGAAGACGAUUAGA
rnacentral:rRNA from 1 species